rnacentral:rRNA from 1 species
AUGAACGCUGGCGGCGUGCCUAAUCCAUGCAAGUCGCGCGAACAGACGAGGAGCUUGCUCCUCUGACGUUAGCGGCGGACGGGUGAGUAACACGUGGAUAACCUACCUAUAAGACUGGGAUAACUUCGGGAAACCGGAGCUAAUACCGGAUAAUAUAUUGAACCGCAUGGUUCAAUAGUGAAAGACGGUUUUGCUGUCACUUAUAGAUGGAUCCGCGCCGCAUUAGCUAGUUGGUAAGGUAACGGCUUACCAAGGCAACGAUGCGUAGCCGACCUGAGAGGGUGAUCGGCCACACUGGAACUGAGACACGGUCCAGACUCCUACGGGAGGCAGCAGUAGGGAAUCUUCCGCAAUGGGCGAAAGCCUGACGGAGCAACGCCGCGUGAGUGAUGAAGGUCUUCGGAUCGUAAAACUCUGUUAUUAGGGAAGAACAAAUGUGUAAGUAACUAUGCACGCCUUGACGGUACCUAAUCAGAAAGCCACGGCUAACUACGUG